rnacentral:misc_RNA from 1 species
UUUCCGUAGGUGAACCUGCGGAAGGAUCAUUAUUGGAUUUUGAAACUUCAGGCUGCUGCUGGCUCUCCUCGGAGGGCAUGUGCACGCUUGUUGUCCAUUAUUUCUCCCACUGUGCACAAAUUGUAGACCUUUCAGUAGGCCUAUGUUGUUUUUCACAAUCUCUGAAUGUAAUAGAAUGGUUUUGAAUCUUGGGAAAUACAAUACAACUUUCAGCAACGGAUCUCUUGGCUCUCGCAUCGAUGAAGAAUGCAGC